GUGGCUGUGGCUCAGUGGUAGAGCGCUUGCCUAGCAUGUGUGAGGCCCUGGGUUCAAUUUUCAGCACCACA
rnacentral:tRNA from 1 species